AUUUGUAAAGACGGCGGCGAUAUGGUGGACGAGAGAAGGCGUAAAUGGCCAGGGAGGGGAGGCGUUGUGGGUUCGUCCGUGGCACUCUAAACAAACGGGACGCAUUCCCGUCGGCGGACGUCUACAAAUCACCGCGGCAGCGCGUCUCGCGCGCCUCCCUCCGAGAGGCGGGGACGCGAGAAGGCUCGCUAUUGGAGGAGGGAGAAGCGGCGCAGGGGGUGAUCCAAUGGGCGUCGCCGGCCGGGAGAGUAGUCGAGUUGUAGGAGGCAGGUUACGUGCAGCUGCCAUUAAGUGCGCGAUUAUGGAACACGGCGUAGGGAAACGCACGCCGGCGCUGUACCUCGUGGACGUGGCGAGUCAACCCGUCAAUGGACUACCCGCUUUCGGGUACCCGAGCGGCCACGUCCAGGAGCCGUCGGCGGACAUGUUGAACCCGUUCGUGGACACCCACAUCAAACUGAGUCCACCCCACGGAAUGACGGAUCCGUCGGGAGGACACCAGUUCUCUAGUCAGAACGGAUACGGAGUGUCGCAUCACCACCCCUACGCAUCCAGGGACUUCAUCUUCCAUCGCGAGCCUCCCGCCCCCCACGGCAUGUUCGUGCACGGAGGACACGCUCCCGACAUAUUUUCGGGUCUGGAUCACCACCACCCUCCCGGUCACCAGGUCAGGCUGUCCAUCCCUCCCGCGGACGUGUACGGAAGACCGGAACCCUUCAACCAGAUGCCCACACCCACCUCGUACGGCGGAGGACCGGGGGCCUUCUUCCGUUACGUCAGGCCCCCGGUCAAACAAGAGCUCACCUGUCUGUGGGUGGAACAGGACCAGAUGACGCCCAGGAAGCCGUGCAACAAGACUUUCACCUCCAUGCACGAGAUCGUCACGCACAUCGGCGUGGAACACGUCGGAGGACCCGAGUGCACCAAUCACGCCUGCUAUUGGCAGGAUUGUUGUCGCAACGGAAGACCCUUUAAGGCCAAGUACAAACUGGUCAAUCACAUCCGGGUUCACACGGGGGAGAAACCCUUCCCCUGUCCUUUCCCCGGCUGCGGCAAGGUGUUUGCCAGGAGCGAAAAUCUCAAAAUACACAAGAGGACCCACACAGGUGAAAAACCCUUCAAAUGUGAAUACGAAGGUUGCGACAGAAGGUUCGCCAACAGCUCGGACAGGAAGAAGCACUCGCACGUGCACACCAGCGACAAACCUUACAACUGUAAGAUCCGCGGUUGCGACAAGAGCUACACCCACCCCAGUUCUCUGAGGAAACACAUGAAGGUUCACGGAAAGUCUUCUCCACCCCCGGGUGCCACGCCGGGUUCCGGGGGGAGCGGAUCCGGCUACGACAGCGACAGCCAGCCCGCGGGUACGGUGUUGCCCGGUCACGUGGUCUCGGAGGGGGGACACCCGGCCAACCUGGCCGAAUGGUACGUCUGUCAGCCGUCCGUCGGCAUGCCCACACCGCCCGACAAUUCCCCCCUGACCCACCCCCACCACCUGCAUUCUACGUCUUACUAAUCCGUCUACGGCCGUGUUCCGGUGCAGGACUCCAGCACCUUCCCCCCGCACCACUCGGACUCGGCGCACGAGCCUGACGUGGGUCGUCUACCUCGCAGUGUACAGAGCGGUAGAAGGCUCGUUGGAAGGGAGCGACGUUUUGUACAGAUCGCGCGAUGCUCCGUAUGUAUCCAUUAUUGUUCGUAUGACGAAUUUUAAAUAAAAAAAAAAAUAUCCGUGUA
rnacentral:misc_RNA from 1 species